rnacentral:rRNA from 1 species
UUUCGGAGCGUAAACUCCUUUUAUCAGGAAAGAAUAAUGACGGUACCUGAUGAAUAAGCACCGGCUAACUCCGUGCCAGCAGCCGCGGUAAUACGGGGGGUGCAAGCGUUACUCGGAAUCACUGGGCGUAAAGGACGCGUAGGCGGAUUAUCAAGUCUUUUGUGAAAUCUAGUGGCUUAACCACUAAACUGCUUAGGAAACUGAUAGUCUAGAGUAGGGGAGAGGUAGAUGGAAUUCUUGGUGUAGGGGUAAAAUCCGUAGAGAUCAAGAAGAAUACCCAUUGCGAAAGCGAUCUGCUGGAACCUAACUGACGCUGAGGCGUGAAAGCGUGGGUAGCAAACAGGAUUAGAUACCCUGGUAGUCCACGCCCUAAACGAUGUAUACUAGUUGUUGCUUUGCUAGUCAAGGCAGUAAUGCAGCUAACGCAUUAAGUAUACCGCCUGGGGAGUACGGUCGCAAGAUUAAAACUCAAAGGAAUAGACGGGGACCCGCACAAGCGGUGGAGCAUGUGGUUUAAUUCGAAGAUACGCGAAGAACCUUACCUGGACUUGACAUCCUAAAAACAUCUAAGAGAUUAAAAAGUGCUAGUUUACUAAAAUUUAAUGACAGGUGCUGCACGGCUGUCGUCAGCUCGUGUCGUGAGAUGUUGGGUUAAGUCCCGCAACGAGCGCAACCCACGUGUUUAGUUGCUAACAGUUCGGCUGAGCACUCUAAACAGACUGCCUUCGUAAGGAGGAGGAAGGUGUGGACGACGUCAAGUCAUCAUGGCCCUUAUGUCCAGGGCGACACACUGCCUACAA